rnacentral:lncRNA from 1 species
UGAACCUCAGAGCUCACAGAGCCGAAACGAGGGGCAGAACCCGCUGCAGGGCCACCCCAAAGGAUUCAGCAGCGGGUUCCUGCCGUGGGGGGGGGUCAGUACCUUGCACACACUUAAAGCGGCUGUUGAUGGGGAUGUAAUCCGGCUCCGCGCCCUCCCUGUCCUGCCACUGGAUAAGGAUCCUGGGGACACAGAGAGGCAGUGAGGAUGCAGAAGGGGCUCCCUGCUGGGGGGGGGGGGGAGAGCCGGGGGGGGGGGAGGGGAGGGGAGAGGGGGGGGGACACGGGGAGGGGAUGGGGACAGGGAAAAGGGAAGGGGACAAGGGAAGAGGAUGGGGACAGGGGAAGGGAAUGGGGACAUGGGAAGGGGACAGGGCUCGGCCCCGCGGGAGCAGCCCCAGCCCCAGCCCCAGCCCCAGCCCCAGCCCCCCGGGCCCGGGCCCUGUCCCCCCGCUCUCACCCGUAGCGGCCUCCCCGCUGCGCCAGGCUGAGCACGCACGGCUCCCGCCGCCCCCCCCGCACCUCCGCCCCGGGCAGGCCCCGCACGGCCCCCGGUGCCCCCCGCCGCCCCCUCCCGGCCAGGCCCCGGCCCGCGGCGGGCGGCUCCAUGGCGGCGGCGCCCCCCGUCUCCCGGCGACCCCGCGGCGGAGCCCGCCCCCCGCUCGCUACCCGCCCACCCGCCGCACUGCCCUCUGCCGGCGGGAGGAGCGAGAAGGAGGUGCGGAGGUGGGCGGGGCUACGGGAAGCCACGCCCCCAAGCGGGGAGAUGAUUGGGCGAGGCGGGUGCUCAUUUGCAUACAGCGCGGGGUAGGACGGGAAGUGGCGCGGUUUGAAGCGCGCGCGGUGGCGGCGGCGGCGCUGGAGCCAUGGAGGGGCCGGGGCGGGACCGGGACCCGAACCGGGAUCGGGACCGGGACCGGGAUCAGGAUCAGGACCGGGAGCAGAACCGGGAGCGGGAUCUGGAACAGAACCAGGAUCGGGACCGGGAUCAGGAUCGGGAGUACCGGCGGCUGGUGAGCGGUGCCAAGGAGGCAGCGGGCAGCGGGGACCUGGAGGCAGCGCUGCGGCUGUUCCAGCGGGCGGCUGCCAUCCGCCCCAGCGAGAAGCUCCGCGGCCGCAUGCAGAGGCUGGAGGAGGCGCUGGCGCAGCUGGCGGAGCAGGAGGAGGAUGAGGAGGGUGAGGAUGAAGAGGAAGGCCGCUUCGUGGAUGUGUGC